CCUACGGGAGGCAGCAGUGAGGAAUAUUGGACAAUGGGCGCAAGCCUGAUCCAGCCAUGCCGCGUGCAGGAUGACGGUCCUAUGGAUUGUAAACUGCUUUUGUACAGGAAGAAACACUCCCUCGUGAGGGAGCUGACGGUACUUAGAUAGC
rnacentral:rRNA from 1 species